UGGUCCACAAUGAGAACAAGGUCUCCAGGAGUGAGAUUUCUCUUGCGUGUUUGCCAUUUCUGUCGCUCUUGCAGCAACGGGAGGUAUUCCUGGGUCCAUCUUGACCAAAAUAAGUUGGCCAUAUAUUGUGCUUGUCUCCAUCUUCUACGGGAGUAGAGGUCAUCCCUGUUAAACACACCAGGUGGAAGAGCUGGUUGCUUUUUCAUUAACAGAAGAUGAUUUGGAGUCAAAACCUCUAGGUCGUUGGGAUCAUCAGAGGCAGCAGUUAAAGGUCGAUCGUUGAUGAUUGCUUCAACUUCGCUUAGCAGAGUGCGAAGGCCGUCAUCAUCCAACACCUGCUGUCUCAAUACAGAAUUCAAAACCUGAGAGUGCGAAUCUGUUGCUCCCAUAUUCCACCUUGGUGGGAGGCAGUUGGGGUGUUAAAAAUCCAGGUGAUGCCUUUCUGCAUUGGUCAUCUUUGAUUUGAGAGUGAUCAAGCUCUUCUAGAGCUUCUCUGAGUUCUCUCUCUGCACCAGUAAAAUUUGUGCUGUUGUCAGAGCGCAUAGUAGACACUUGACCUCUUCUACAGAUAAAUCUUCUGAUGGCAUUAAUGCAUGAUGAGGUAUCUAAAGAGUGAGCCACCUCUAUGUGGACUGCUCUAAGUGCAAGUCAUGUGAACAGGACGCCGUAGCGUUUUACCAUGCUGCAUGCUCUUUUGACCUCAAAGGGUCCAAAAUAGUCUACACCUACAUGUGUAAAGGGAGGCUGGUCAGGGAGUACACGUUCCUCAAGUAAGUCUGCCAUUUUUUGUUCUGGAGGUUUUGCGUGCAGUUUCCUGCAUGUAAUGCAACUGGAUAUCACUGUGCGAGUGGCUCUGUUCAAUCCUGGAAUCCAGUAUCGCUGUCUGACCUUUGCAAUUAAAUGAUUUCUUCCACAGUGACCAUUCUGACGGUGAACAUGCAUCAGAAUCAGCCUUGCAAGGUGGUGAUCCUUGUGUAGCACUGCCGGGAAUCUGGAUUCUUCUGGCAUGGCUGACUUGUUCAGCUGCCCACCCACUCUGAUGACACCAUCUUGCAGUACAGGAUCCAAUCUGUAGAGUGGACUAGACUUCUUAACUUGGGCAUCCUUUCCUUGGACUGAAGCGAACUCCUCUGGAUACAUCUCCAUUUGACUGUGACAUAUCAGCGCAAUUUCUGCAUUCUCCAAAUCUUCCACUGAUAAAGGUUUCUUGUCCACUGACUGUCUCAAUCUUUUAAUUUCUUCUUGAACUUUCAAGUUCUGUUUUAUUUUAUCUGUCUCUGUUACAGCAACAACAGCUUUGCAUUCCUUUCUUUUGUUAGCAAAGUAGUGAAGCAAGUCUUUCAAACGCAUCAUCCAUGCAACAGCUUUCUUCAAUCUAUGCCAGUCAGAGUAGUAUUCUACCAAUGUUGUCAUGGCUGCGACUUUGGUUGUGCUAACGUGAGUGACUAGGGUUGUCUUCCUGAUUUCACUAUCAUCGUCCAUGGUGUUGUGUAUGUCAGGUCUUGUAGGCCACUCAGGCUCAUCUUCACAAAGGAAAGGUGGACCAUGAAUUCAGUUGUCAUGCUUGGUGAGUGAGGUAAACUUCAUACCUCUUGAAGCUACAUCUGCUGGAUUUAGUGAACUAUUCACAUAUCUCCACUGGGAUGGUAGAGUGGCUUUCCUGAUGAAUGCAACUCGAUUGGCCACAAAGGUCUUGAAGCGAGAAGCAUCAUUCUCUAUGUACCUAAGCACAGUCAGAUUGUCUGUCCAAAAAACAGACUCUUGUAGUGUGAUCUCCAUUUCCUGUCUUAACAGCUUGUCCACUUUCACAGCUAUGACUGCGGCAGUAAGUUCCAUCCUAGGGACUGUUACUUUCUAUAGAGGUGCCACUCUUGAUUUACACAUAAGCAUUGUGCAGCACUUCUUUCCAUCCUUACUGGUAAGCAGAAUGUAGGAAGCUCUACCGUAACCACUCUCACUUGCAUCUGAGAAAUUGUGUAUCUGAGCUUUGAGAGUGGGACCAAAGUCCACUGGCUUGAUACAUCUGUCUACCUGGAAGCCGGACAACUCUUGCAGCUCUGAAAGCCACUGCAGCCAUCUUCGUGAAUGUCUUUCAUUGAUCUCUUUAUCCCAGCUUAAUUUCUCUUGGCAAAGCUCUCACAAAAUCAGUUUAGCUGGGAGGAUACAUGGAGCAACUACGCCUAGAAGGCCAUAGACUGAGCUCACUAUUAAGAGUAUUCCUCUUUUAGUGGUUGAUCUCUCUGGCACAUUCACCCUGAACCUGAAGGUGUCCGUCUCCGUACACCACUGGACUCCUAAGGCUCUUUCUGUUGGCAGAGUGUCUUUGCUCAAGUCUAAGUCUUUCACCUCUGCAGCUCUCUCAUUCUCAGGACACGACAAAACUUGUCUACUGUUACUAACCCAUUUUGUCAGGUUAAAUCCACCUCUCAAGCAUAAAGCCAUCAAAGACUGUGAAAGUGAUAUGGCUUGCUCUUCAGAAGCUACAGCUGUCAAGCAGUCAUCAAUGUAAACAUUUCUCUCAACUGUUUUUGCAGCUUCAGUUGUUGUCUCAUUUUUUCCGUCUUCUGCUGUCUUCCUCAAUGCAAAACAAGCACAGCUUGGGGAGGAAGUAGCCCCAAAGAUGUGUACAGUCAUUCUGUAUUCUUGAAGCGUUCAGUUCAAGUCACCGUCUGGCCACCAGAGGAAACGGAGGAAGUCAGAGUUCUUGGGCGGUACCCUGACCUGGUAAAACAUUGCCUAUAUGUCUGCCAUCAUUGCAACUGACUCCUCUCUAAACCUUGUCAACACUCCAAUCAAACUAUUUGUGAGAUCAGGCCCUUGGAAUAACUGGUUAUUCAACGAAACCCCUUGAUAUGUAGCUGUGCAGUCAAAGACAACUCUAAUAUUCUUCUUUUUAGGGUGGUACACCCCAUGGUGUGGGAUGUACCAGACCUCGCCUUCCUUAGGCUGACUUUCCACAGGAACCUUUUCUGCGUAGUCCCUUGCUAUGAUGUCAUGCAUGAAGGCCUUGUAGUCAGUGUGGAAUUCAGAGUUCUUAUUGAGCUUCUUUUUAAGGUUGAUUGCUCUUUGUUCUGCAUGACUGCGAUUAGUGGGCAUCUUCACAGACCUGUUCAAAUGGAAGACUAAUAUAGUAAUGUCCAUCAAUGAACUGACAAGACUGUUCCACCUCUUUCAUGAAUUGCCUAUCAUCUUGUGACAUCUCUGUUCUGUCCUCACAGCUGCGCUCUGAGAAAUUAGAGUUAAAGUGCUGAGUUAACAACUCUUCAAUGCUUGCCACGGAUAUCCUGUUGACAGUGAAACCCUGCAAUCCUUCAUCUACGUCCUGAAGAUGAUCUCCUCUUCUGAUGGGGCCAAUGACUGUCCAUCCAAUCGCUGUCCUUACUGCGUAUGGACCAUCACCUUGGCUGUUAAUGACUUGCCAUGGUUCUAUUGCCUUGUGAACAUUAGCUCCAAUCAAUAGGCCAAUCUCUGCAUUGAUACUCGGCAGGCGUACCUCUUCAAGGUAAGUCCACCUCUGGAGGUCUUUCUGCUGGGGAAUGUUUUCCUUGUGGACAGGAAUUUCAGGUUGUGUGAACACGGUUAAGUCAACGUACUUGUUCUCUUCAAGUCCAGCAACUUCCAGGUCUGACAGGAUAUGGCUAUGGACAAGCGUCUCCUGACCCAUAGCAAGAUCUCCGUCUUCCUGCCCCUAAGGUUCAGCAUUCUCAUGACCUUCUCAGUACAAAAAGUCGCUGAACUGCCUGAGUCAAUGAAGGCAUAGGUCUCCACUGUCUGUGUACCUUUCUUGGACUUGAGUCUUACUGGAACAAUGGCCAAAACAUAUUCCCUACUUCCGGCCCCAGUGCAUCCACAUGUCUCCGGUUUUACGGAACUAGUGGACUGUGACUCAGAUGUGCCUUUCUUGUCCUCCUUGACUGAUGCCAUUUCAUCCUUCUGCACAUGUAGAAUGCUUGGAUGUUUUCGUGAACAUAUCUGACAGGUCAAUUUCCUGGUGCAAUCUUUACUUAGGUGACCUUGUACAAGGCAUCCAAAACAGAGACCUUUAGACUUCAAAAAGUCAAUCUUAUCCUUGCGUAUCUGCCUCUUGAACUUCUCAAAGUUUGUUGAGGCGUGACCUUUUCCUUCUGUCCAACUGAAACACUGGCUCCCUGAAGGUUGCCAAAUAAAGGAUCUAUGGCAAUCUUGCCUUGUCUCUCUAUGAAACUUACUAAGUCUGCAAACUUAGCUCUCCUUUUUCUGUUCUCCAGCAGGUCAAAUGCCACAUGUUUCCAUCUCUCCCUCAUCUUGUAAGGUAGUUUAGACAGUACGGCUCUCAUGUUCGUUGGGUUAUCCAUUUCAUCCAUGUAGUCAACAUCCUGCAUGGUGUUUCUGCAACCAAUCAAGAAGAGAGCAUAGGCAUUCAAGCCCUUAGCAUCUUCUGCCUUUAUCUGUGGCCACUUCAAGGCUUUCUCAAUGUAAGCCAUUGCUAUUUUCAACUCAUCACCAUAUUGCUGAUGAAGCAAUAGCCUAGCUUCUCUGUAGCCCUUCUCUGGAGGCAUGUGCUCACAGCUUCUCACCAGUUCUUGUGGUUCUCGACUAGUAUACUGUUCCAGAAAGAAAAGUUUGUCUCUAGCAUUCUGUGUCUUGCUGUCAAUAGCAUUUUCAAAAGCUCUGAGAAAAGAUCUAUAGGUGGGCGGAACCCCAGCAAAAACAGGAAUGUCUCUUUUGGGUAAUAGUGACAGAUCUUGUUGCUUGACCAACAUCUCGGUUAUCAUGUUCUGAUGUCGCAUCACUUCGUAAAUCCUGUUCCCUGCAGGCAUGGGUUCCUGAGGCUCGUCAGAUGAGGCUCUGUCUGUAGGCACUUGAUGACCAAGAUAUGCACAAGGUGCAUGUUCCAUAUUUUUAGUGGUAGUGUCAGGAAUAUGAUCUUGAUCCUUGUAGUUAUAACUUGUUGCCGGGCUGUGAACUUUGUGUACAGGGUGUGCUCUCAUAAUUUUUGUAUGGGAUUCAGCUAGAGAACCAUGUCCCCCUUGUAUGUGGCUAUGUACAUCUGUACUUGGCAACAUCGCUGUCACAUAUUCAUUCAUGGCAUCACGACGGCUUUCAUGACUCUCAAACACCUUCAGCUUAGCAGUAGAGGCUGCAAUUGCAGUUUCUAAUUCUAACUGUUCCAUCUCUGCUCUUAAGUUUGCCUCUUGCAGCUGCAUCACCUUCUUCUUUUUUAUUGAUUCUGCUUGCGCUAAAAGAGCUCCUCUUUUUGCUUCUUCUUUCAUGCGUGCCACAGAGCUAGUGCACGACACAACUGAAGAACUAGCAGUACUGGAACCAGCUUUAGUCUUGCCUUUUCGACUGCGUUGGGCUACCACUGAGACACUAUCAUGUGGAUCUUCUUCGUCCUGUAUAGUCCUUUGUUCUUUUAUCCACUUUUCUGUCCCACGCAUAAACCCUUUAAUGGCAGUAGACUUUGGCUCAUACCAGUUAAACUGAUCUGCGCUCGCUUCAUCAGAUGGUAAAAGCUGCACAAUGCUGUUAUUGAGCAUGAUUAAUUCUUCAUACAGCUUGGUAAAACCUUGCAGUAUUUCUGACUCAACUUUAUGAACAUGCUCCCCUUUAUUUUUCAUAUUUUCAAUUUCCUUAAUUUUUGCUGUAAUCUGAGCCAUUUUCGUUUUCCUUUGACCAAUGAGCCUAUUUUUUGCCUUUUGUGUGUACAUUUGUGUGUACUCUUGUGGUCAAUUGCAAGUGGUGUACCACCCACUGCAUCAAGCAACUGUUCAUCCGCCAUCUUGGAAAUUAAGCAAUGACUAAGCAGAAAGUCCAAACGAAAUUUUAAACACUUAUGAGUCACUUCUGUAACUCAAAAAAACAAAAAAAAACAAAUCCCCUUCAGUAGUCUUCCUCAGUAUCUUCAUCAACUCAUCAAACUCGAAUGUCAAACACUUCCAAUAUAGUCAGGAUGAGUUCCUGGGGCUAAACUCCUUUACAGCUCCGUUAGCACUGUUAGCUUCUAGUAGCAGGAAAGCUGUACUUACAAAGCACCAUCAAUCUUGAGAAUGGCUCCAUCAAUCUCCUCCAUCCACGUUCUGUUUACUUUCUCAGCUGAAUGUCCGUUCUUUUUGUAUGGAUCUUAGUUUUUUGACUAAUGUUAUUGCAGCAGAUCCAGUAUCUGUGUCAUUCAAGAAUUAGGAAGCACUCAGGAGCGUAAUGGACUUGUGAAACCGUGAGUUCAACAAAAAAAGCCUUUAUUUAAGAAAAAUGCAGUUUCCUUCCAAUAAGUUCUAAACAUGGUAAGCACGGUCUAAAAACGGUGUUUUUCCGUGCUUCCAAAUCCUUCACUCCGUGUUCUAACUAGUGUUCUUCCAGCUAAAGCAUCUUCUUUACACAAUAUCAAAAUAAAAGUCCCAUAGCAAAUGUUCCACUCAGUUAAACUGACAUCAUUGUUACUUUCAUUAAAUAAUACAAAAAAUACAAAAAUGCUCACAAACAAAUAAAACAAAUAUGAGAUCUUACUUAUGGCUCUAACACAAACAAGGUAUACACUGUAUUUUCUGCUUUACUGUGUAUUUUUAUAUUCUGUAAAAUAAUAUUAUAUGUUGUAUGACAUGGAGUGAUACAUAGUCUUUUGUGUAUUUGAUUUUACAAAUUUUUCCCUAUUUGGUGUGAUUUCUCUGAUCCCAGCUAUAUGUCCAUGAAGAGUGAUCAGUAAAUGGGUGUUCCACUAACCCUCAGAGAGGGGGACAGAUCUACUGAUCUGAGGUAAAGACAGUUGUCAGUAUGAAUGGUGCAGUAAAAUGUUCAUCACUCCCAAUCCCACCUGAUCUCAGCAGGUGAGAGAGGUGGGUUAGAGCAGGAAAACACUAAACUGUGCAAUAGGGGAUAAAAUUAUAGAUCUAAUACUGAGUGUUCAUUUAUAAAGUUUCAGCUGCUACUAACAUUCAUUACAUAUAUCUAAUAUAUCUACACAGUGAAUGGAGCUGCAUUUAAAUGAAUAUGUUGUAACAUAUGAAGGUGAGUUUAUUGAGCUGUUCAGGUUGUUCACAAUACACGACUGAUAAUCUUCUGAUUUCCAGAAGAACUCAGACAUUACCAGGAGAAACAUGGGGAUCAUAUUCAAGGAGCUGGAGACCAAAGUCAUCUCUCUGGUGAAGAAUCAGCUGAAGAAGUUUGUGAAGCUGCUGAGUCUGGAUUACCCAGCAUGCUCUGACAGAGAGGUGGAGGAUGAGGAAGAUCAGAGCAUCCCGUCCUGAGGAACAUGAAUCAGACUGACCUCACUAACACACUAGAGAGCAAACUGGCUCCUUCUUUGCAUGUUCUCCCCGUGUCUGCAUGGGUUU